AGUGGAAUGAGUGCUGAUGUGGGCAUUAGUAGAUCACAUAGAAGCUCUCACAUGACCAGACUGCCCAGAAGGCAUCAUGUUCUCUCCCCACCCCCAGCCAUCUGAGACGAGACUCUUGGGAGGCCCAAGCAUGUUCGAGUGUGUCCAACUGACAGCAGCAGACCUCAGACAUGCUCAUGGUACUGCACUGGUUGCCCCAUGAGGAGCAACAGGAGGAGGCCGAAGAAAAAGGGAGUCGGGACGUCCAUCUCUGUGAUGCUCUGCAUCCGUGCUCGUACC